rnacentral:rRNA from 1 species
GACGAACGCUGGCGGCGUGCUUAACACAUGCAAGUCGAACGAAGUGGCGAACGGGUGAGUAACGCGUAAUCCACCUGCCCUUCAGAGGGGGACAACAGUUGGAAACGACUGCUAAUACCACAUACUGAAGGAGGGGAUUGCGUCUGAUUAGCUAGUUGGAGGGGUAACGGCCCACCAAGGCGACGACCAGUCGCCGGGCUGAGGGGAUGAACUGCCACGUUGGGACUGAGACACGGCCCAGACUCCUACGGGAGGCAGCAGUGGGGAAUCUUCCGCAAUGGACGAAAGUCUGACGGAGCAACGCCGCGUGAGUGAUGACGGCCUUCGGGUUGUAAAGCUCUGUUAAUCGGGACGCGGUACCGGAAUAGAAAGCCACGGCUAACUACGUGCCAGCAGCCGCGGUAAUUC